UCUCACAGAUUCUUAUCUUGUGAAAAGCUCGAGCCCAUUUGCCUUCUUUCUAGAUCCCCUCCCAAUCUUUUAUGGUUAAAAUUCUCUUUCGAAAAUAUUGCUAUCUAUGUCCAAUCUUUUAAAAAAGAUUAUUCCAAAACUUUUUCCUUCUCAAUCUUCUUCUUCAAAUGGACAAGAUCAUGAUCCAGAACUUGAUGAAUCCAACGAUCAAUCAAACCUGGAGUUCGUUCAAAACUACAAAGAACUCAAGCUCGGCAAGAUCCAAGAGAAUCUUCCAAUUGGACUAUCCCAAAGCUUCCGUGGGAAACAACAGGAGUUUGAAUCUCACCACAGAAGAGUUCAAGGCAGCCUUCAGUUAUCUGGGUUCGAGGUACAGCGCCUUCCGAGCCCACCGAGGCCCCUCCGCACCACCGACGUGGCGACGGGAUCAUAAAUUUGGAGGAGAUGGGUAAGUUGAUUGUGUAUGGUAAAGGUUGUAACUAUAGUCUUGGCUGAAACUCUCAGGGUAGAGUUAAGUUUGUGUUUUAUGGAGGGGAAAUAUGUCUCUUCUAUUGUAUAAUAAAUAAACAGUAGUAUGUGUGUGAGGUAUUUUUAUGUUUUAAAGAUGUAUAUUAUAAAUAUGUUGCAAGUGUUUUGAAGUAGGGUCCUUCUGAGGAGGACCAACUAUAUGUUAAGAUUGGUAGGACUGUAUUAAACUAUUUCUAUUUGUUUUAAUGUCAAAUGAGUUGAUUAUUGUA